rnacentral:rRNA from 1 species
UACGUAGGGGGCUAGCGUUGUCCGGAAUCAUUGGGCGUAAAGAGCGUGUAGGCGGCUCGAUAAGUCCGCUGUGAAAGUCCAGGGCUCAACCCUGGAAGGCCGGUGGAAACUGUCGGGCUAGAGUCCGGAAGAGGCGAGUGGAAUUCCCGGUGUAGCGGUGAAAUGCGCAGAUAUCGGGAGGAACACCAAUGGCGAAGGCAGCUCGCUGGGACGGUACUGACGCUGAGACGCGAAAGCG